rnacentral:rRNA from 1 species
GACGAACGCUGGCGGCGUGCCUAAUACAUGCAAGUCGAGCGAAUGGAUGGGAGCUUGCUCCCUGACAUUAGCGGCGGACGGGUGAGUAACGCGUGGGCAACCUGCCCUGCAGAUGGGGAUAACUCCGGGAAACCGGGGCUAAUACCGAAUAAUCAGUUCCUCCGCAUGGAGGAACUCUGAAAGACGGCUCUGCUGUCACUUAUAGAUGACCUUGCGGUGCAUUAGUUAGUUGGUGGGGUAACGGCCUACCAAGACGAUGAUGCAUAGCCGACCUGAGAGGGUGAUCGGCCACAUUGGGACUGAGACACGGCCCAAACUCCUACGGGAGGCAGCAGUAGGGAAUCUUCCGCAAUGGGCGAAAGCCUGACGGAGCAAUGCCGCGUGAGUGAAGAAGGCCUUCGGGUCGUAAAACUCUGUUAUAAGAGAAGAACAGAUUGUAGAGUAACUGCUACAGUCUUGACGGUAUCUUAUCAGAAAGCCACGGCUAACUACGUGCCAGCAGCCGCAGUAA